ACACACACACAUAUAUUUGUGCAUAGAUACACAGUCACACACCCAGACUCAAACCCUCACAUGGCUCCUCAUCUCUCCGUUUUCGUCCUCCUCGUCAUUUGUUCCAGACUAUCAGUAAUGUCAAUGUCGUCCACCGAAGACACCGAAGACUCAUACUUAACAUCAGCGUACAGCACGUACAGAUCUGAAGACGUCAUUAGAUUACUCUACAGAUUGGAGCGAACACUCUUCUACCUGAUGAAAAUUGUUAAUGCAAUCCUCUUCCUCCUGUGCACCAUCAUUGCUGUGGUGAACUUCAAGGUUAACCGACUUCGAGGCGAAAUUCAGGAUAGUUAGAAACCAGACAGGUCUCUCUGGUGAGAACAGAUGUUGUGUGACCAUACAAUUGUGUUUUAAGGUCCAGUAUUCAUCCAGCGAGAUGUUUUUUUUUUUUGUUACAGCCAAACAUUUAUUUCAAUCGGAAUCUUUUAUUCAUUUGUUUUACUGGUGAUUGAAGCUAAAACUACACUGUGUGCACGAUUAUUAGGCAAGUGAGUAUUCUGAUCUUAUGAUUAUUUCUAUGCACAUUUUCCAACUCCAAAUCAUAUAAAGUUGAAUGCUUAUUGGAUGUAGUCCUUUUCAGGUGAUAUGUAUUUGUGUUUUAUGAGGGAGGGUGUGGCGAAUGUGAAUAACACCUUAUAUCAAGGUGUGCAUAAUUAUUAGACAGCAUCAUUACCUCAGGUAAAAUGGGCCACAAAAUGUAUUUAACUGACACUGAAAAGUCAAAAAUGUGUAAAAUGCCUUUCAGACGGACGCAACACUCUUGAAAUAGCUCAACUAUUGAGGCGUGACCACCGGACAAUCAAACGUUUUGUUGAGAAUAUUCAACUGGGGCGCAAAAAACCAAUGGAGAAAAAAAGGUGCAAAUUAACUGCAAAAGACUUGAGAAUAAUUUAACGUCAAGCUACCAGGAAACCAUUAUCCUUCAGUGCCACCAUAUUCCAGAACUGCAAUCUACCUGGAGAGUCCAGAAAUACAAGGUGUCACGUGCUCAGAGACAUGGACAAGGUCAAGAAGGCUGAAACACGACCGCAACUGAAUAAGAUUCACAAGUUGAAGCGUCAAGAUUGGGCAAAUAAAUACCCGAAGACAGAUUUUUCCAAAGGUUUUAUGGACAGAUGAAAUGAGUGACUCUUGAUGGACCAGAUGGAUGGGCCCGUGGCUGGAUCAAUAAUGGACACAGGGCACCACUUCGAGUCAGGAGCCAGCAAGGUGGAGGAGGGUACUGGUAUGGGCUGCUAUUUAUUUUAUUUCACCUUUAUUUAACCAGGUAGGCUAGUUGAGAACAAGUUCUCAUUUACAACUGCGACCUGGCCAAGAUAAAGCAUAACAGUGUGAACAGACAACAACACAUAGUUACACAAGGAGUAAACAAUAACACAGUAGGGGGAAAAAAUGAGUCUAUAUACAUUGUGUGCAAAAGGCAUGAGGAGGUAGGCAAUAAAUAGGCCAUAGGAGCGAAUAAUUACAAUUUAGCAGAUUAACACUGGAGUGAUAAAUCAUCAGAUGAUCAUGUGCAAGUAGAGAUACUGGUGAGCAAAAGAGCAGAAAAUUAAAUAAAUAAAAACAGUAAGGGGAUGACGUAGGGAAAUUGGGUGGGCUGUUUACAGAUGGACUAUGUACAGCUGCAGCGAUCGGUUAGCUGCUCAGAUAGCAGAUGUUUAAAGUUGUUGAGGGAAAUAAAAGUCUCCAACUCCAGCGAUUUUUGCAAUUCGUUCCAGUCACAGGCAGCAGAGAACUGGAAGGAAAGGCGGCCAAAUGAGGUGUUGGCUUUUGGGAUGAUCAGUGAGAUAUACCUGCUGGAGUGCGUGCUACGGGUGGGUGUUGUUAUCGUGACCAGUGAACUGAGAUAAGGCAGAGCUUUACCUAGCAUGGACUUAUAGAUGACAUUAAGGAUGAGGUAGUUGGACCUUUUCGGGUUGAAGAUGGUCUGAAACUCAACUCCCAAACCUACUGCCAGUUUCUGGAAGAUACUUUCUUCAAGCAGUGGUACAGGAAGAAGUCCUCAGCAUUCAAGAAGGCCAUGAUCUUCAUGCAGGACAAUGCUCCAUCACAUGCAUCCAAGUACUCCACUGCUUGGCUAGCCAGCAAGGGCCUCAAAGCUGCCCGAAUAAUGACCUGGCCCUCUUCCUCACCUGACUUAAAUCCUAUUGAGAACUUGUGGGCCCUUCUCAAGCGUGAGAUUUACAGUGAGGGAAGACAAUACACCUCUUUGAACAGCAUUUGGGAGGCUGUGGUUGCUGCUUCAGUGAAAGUUGAUCGUGAACAGAUCAAGACACUGACAGACUCCAUAGAUGGAAGGCUCAUGGCAGUUAUUAAAAAGAAGGGUUGCUAUAUUGAUAACUUGAAUAGUUACUGAAUAAAGUCCAAAAAUGUUAUUUAAUUGUCAUUCUGCAUUACUUAUUUGUUACACUUACUCUAAAAAUGUAGAAUAAACAAGUGAGUUUGGAGAAAUUAUUUUUGUAAUUUAGUUGCCUAAUAAUUGUACACACUAAUAGUUGCCUAAUAAUUGUGCACACUUAUAUAUUCCCCUGAGAAAGACAGAACUCAAUGUUUUGGGGAUUGACGGAGAGCAUUGUGUUUGUUCAACAAUCCUAAGGAAUACAAUUUGCCUAAUAAUUGUGCACGCAGUGUAUUUACCACAACCCCACAAACAUCUCCUUCCUCUCCCCAAUCUCCAUAGGCUACCAAAUAUCUCUAGGUUCAUACAUGAUUAACCUUUCAAAUAUUUUUUUAAUUUUAUUGAUGCAGUAUACAAAAAUAAAAAAUUGAAGUCUCUUUUUUUCCCUCCAAAAUAUAAAGUUGCCACAUGGUUUUAUUUCUUAGUCUCCAUAAUAUUACUGGACCGCAGAAAUAUAUGAACAAACUGAUUUUUUGUUUUGUUUUGCUCGUUUGUUGCUGAUUUAACUCAAUUACCAGUGUUGAAUUGUUUUGAAUGACUAAUUACCACUGUUAACCUACAUAAA